rnacentral:rRNA from 1 species
GACGAACGCUGGCGGCGUGCUUAACACAUGCGAGUCGAACGGUGAAGGGACUGGUUUUGCUGGUCCUGGAUGAGUGGCGAACGGGUGAGUAACACGUGAGUAACCUGCCCCCUUCUUCUGGAUAACCGCAUGAAAGUGUGGCUAAUACGGGAUAUUCUGGGUCUGUCGCAUGGUGGGCCUGGGAAAGAUUGCGCCUUUUUUGGUGUUUUUGGUGGGGGAUGGGCUCGCGGCCUAUCAGCUUGUUGGUGGGGUGAUGGCCUACCAAGGCGGUGACGGGUAGCCGGCCUGAGAGGGUGGACGGUCACACUGGGACUGAGACACGGCCCAGACUCCUACGGGAGGCAGCAGUGGGGAAUAUUGCACAAUGGGCGCAAGCCUGAUGCAGCGACGCCGCGUGAGGGAUGGAGGCCUUCGGGUUGUGAACCUCUUUCGCCAGUGAAGCAGGCCUGCCUCUUUUUGUGGGUGGGUUGACGGUAGCUGGAUAAGAAGCGCCGGCUAACUACGUG